GUAGAGAUCGAUCAGUAUUUUUCUUUUGCAUGUCAAGAGUGAUGAUGAGUACGAUGAGUAUGGUGUAUACCAGACUGAUAUUGAUACGAGCUGCUCUCCUCAAGGUAAUCAAUAUUAUGGCCCAAUGGAAUAUGAGGAGACGAGCAUAGGUGAUGGCCCCUGUAAGCAUCUUAGUGGGGAAACCCAAGAUUGCAUAUAUAUACAAGAAAGCUUUGUAUUUACCUCUUUUGGGAAGGUAAUGAAAGAGAGAAUCUGUUUUGUUUUAACCAAAGCAGGUUUCUUCACUUAACUUUUAAGCAAAUCAUGUUUCUUCAGUGUUCAUAGUGGCUGUGACUGUGAUUCUUGUCUGAAUCUGUUUUAUUUCUUCUUUACAUCAUCAACUCUCAAAGCAUUUAACUCCCCAGUUUUGUCUGAAUUUGUCCUUUCUUAGUUCGCUUUUUCCCAGGAAGGUAAAGAAAAAAUAUUAUCUUCACACUCCCAUAGCUUCCAUAAACGAGAUUGGAGUAGCAGAAGCAAUAAAUAUAGUCACAUCAAUUGCUUUCUUGAUAGCUUUUGCUAUACUCAGGAUUCAACCAGUAAACGACAUAGCCUACUUCCCUAAAUGGUAUCUCAAGGGCCUAAGAACUAGCUCCAUACAAACUGGUGGCUUUGGAAGCAAGUUCAUCAACUUGGACUUCAUGUCCUAUGUUUGAUUCCUCAACUGGAUGCCUGAAGCACUUCAAAUGCCAGAACCAGAGUUCGUCAGGUCUCGAUUCUGUUGUCUACUUGAGGAUCUACGUACUCGGGUUCAAGAAUUUUUCCCCAUAGCUUGCGUUGCUUUUACAACAAUGGUGCAUGUUAAUUGGAAAAACAAGGGAUUGGAUGGAUUAAAACACUCUAAUAUAAGCUACAGUGAUAUUGAUAAGCUUUCAUUGUCAAAUAUACCAAAUGGAUCAGACAUGUGAGCUAUACAUUUCCCAGAGUUUGGUUCUUUUUCUUCUUUGUUCCAUUAGUGUAAUGGUUAUUCAUUUUCCUAUAGAUUUUGGGUGCAUCUGUGUAUGGCUUAUGCAAUCACCUUCUGGACAUACUUAAUGCUGAAAAGAGAGUAUUAGAAUAUAGCAGGCUUCAGUUUCUU